GAUUUCCACUAGGGGUGUCAGUGUAGCUGACUGAGAGAGGAUAACCUCAACUCUUAUAACCUGAACUAGCUUGAACUAGCGUAGGGAAGUGGUGUGGCACAUCA
rnacentral:ncRNA from 2 species